rnacentral:rRNA from 1 species
AAUUGACGGGGGCCCGCACAAGCGGCGGAGCAUGCGGAUUAAUCGAUGCAACGCGAAGAACCUUACCAAGGCUUGACAUACACCGGUAACGCCCAGAGAUGGGUGCCCCUUUGUGGUCGGUGUACAGGUGGUGCAUGGUUGUCGUCAGCUCGUGUCGUGAGAUGUUGGGUUAAGUCCCGCAACGAGCGCAACCCUCGUCCUAUGUUGCCAGCGGGUCAUGCCGGGGACUCAUGGGAGACUGCCGGGGUCAACUCGGAGGAAGGUGGGGAUGACGUCAAAUCAUCAUGCCCCUUAUGUCUUGGGCUUCACGCAUGCUACAAUGGCCGGUACAAAGGGCUGCGAUACCGCGAGGUGGAGCGAAUCCCAGAAAGCCGGUCUCAGUUCGGAUUGGGGUCUGCAACUCGACCCCAUGAAGUCGGAGUCGCUAGUAAUCGCAGAUCAGCAACGCUGCGGUGAAUACGUUCCCGGGCCUU